CAGUCCACAGCCAGGCCUGGCAAGGGACAGGGAAGCUGGCCAGGGAGCCCGGGUGCGGGGGGUGGGCGCCGGGCAGAGCUGAGCUGUCCUGCUGGCUUGCUCAGCAUCUGCUGGGUGACUGUGUGUGCAAGAUCCUUAGCUAGGGCAGAGGAACCAGCAGCCAGAAGCCAGGCACAGCUCCAUGGUGGACUGCCAUGGGUUCAACCCCGGCACUGAAGGAAAAUAAACAGGAACAUGGAAGCCGCCAGAGCACCACGUACACAUGUCAGGCAUUCUGGGUGUGAAUGCUCUUCCCAUGUGAACAGGAGAGAGAAAAAUGACACCCCAUCUCGGGGUGCUGGUUCCAUGCCCUGGAGGCCCAGAAUUGAACUUCCCGGCAGGAGCGCCUGUCACCCCAGAGCUGCAGGAGGCUGGGGCAGGAGGAUCACAAGGCCACUGCCGUGGGUGGGGCAGGCCGGGGUCGUCGCAGGAUCGGGGAGACCUUCAAACAGACCCUUUAAAAAUCAUUUACUCCACGAAACAUCUGAAAGGGAGAUGAGGAAAACAACUCCUCUUGCAAUAGCCUCAAAAAAAAAAAAAAAAAAAAACUUGGGCAUCAAUCUAAC